AGAAUGAACGCUGGCGGCGUGCCUUACACAUGCAAGUCGAGCGAGGCGCGGUAGCAAUACCGCAGUCGAGCGGCGAACGGGUGAGUAACACGUGGGUGACCUGCCUCUAGGUGGGGGAUAACCCGGGGAAACUCGGGCUAAUACCGCAUAACAUCGUGAGAUCAAAGAGGGGCGCAAGCCUCUCGCCGAGAGAGGGGCCCGCGUCUGAUUAGCUAGUUGGUGAGGUAACGGCUCACCAAGGCGACGAUCAGUAGCGGCCUGAGAGGGCGAUCGGCCGACACUGGAACUGAGACACGGUCCAGACUCUACGGAGGCAGCAGUGGGAAUUUGCGCAAUGGGGGAAACCCUGACGCAGCAACGCCGCGUGGAGGAUGAAGGUCCUUGGAUUGUAAACUCCUGUCAGCAGGAAGAAGGCCUGGGUGAAUACCCCCAGGACUUGACGGUACCUGCCAGAGGAAGCCCCGGCUAACUCUAGUGUCAGCAGCCGCGGUAAUCCUGA
rnacentral:rRNA from 1 species